rnacentral:rRNA from 2 species
UGCAAGUCGAGCGACUCUGGUUUUUGAUUUUUGGUGCUUGCACCAAAAUGAUAAAACAUUUGAGUGAGCGGCGGAUGGGUGAGUAACACGUGGGUAACCUGCCCUAAAGUGGGGGAUAACAUUUGGAAACAAGUGCUAAUACCGCAUAACAACAUUUACCACAUGGUUUAUGUUUAAAAGAUGGUUUUGCUAUCACUUUAGGAUGGACCCGCGGCGUAUUAGUUAGUUGGUGAGGUAAUGGCUCACCAAGACCGUGAUACGUACCCGACCUGAGAGGGUAAUCGGCCACAUUGGGACUGAGACACGGCCCAAACUCCUACGGGAGGCAGCAGUAGGGAAUCUUCCACAAUGGACGAAAGUCUGAUGGAGCAACGCCGCGUGAGUGAAGAAGGUUUUCGGAUCGUAAAACUCUGUUGUUGAAGAAGAACAUGCGUGAGAGUAACUGUUCACGUAUUGACGGUAUUCAACCAGAAAGCCACGGCUAACUACGUGCCAGCAGCCGCGGUAAUACGUAGGUGGCAAGCGUUGUCCGGAUUUAUUGGGCGUAAAGCGAGCGUAGGCGGUUUAUUAAGUCUGAUGUGAAAGCCCUCGGCUCAACCGAGGAAGUGCAUCGGAAACUGGUAAACUUGAGUGCAGAAGAGGAGAGUGGAACUCCAUGUGUAGCGGUGGAAUGCGUAGAUAUAUGGAAGAACACCAGUGGCGAAGGCGGCUCUCUGGUCUGUAACUGACGCUGAGGUUCGAAAGCGUGGGUAGCAAACAGGAUUAGAUACCCUGGUAGUCCACGCCGUAAACGAUGAGUGCUAAGUGUUGGAGGGUUUCCGCCCUUCAGUGCUGCAGCUAACGCAUUAAGCACUCCGCCUGGGGAGUACGACCGCAAGGUUGAAACUCAAAGGAAUUGACGGGGGCCCGCACAAGCGGUGGAGCAUGUGGUUUAAUUCGAAGCAACGCGAAGAACCUUACCAGGUCUUGACAUACCAUGAAAAGCUAAGAGAUUAGUCUUUCCCUUCGGGGACAUGGAUACAGGUGGUGCAUGGUUGUCGUCAGCUCGUGUCGUGAGAUGUUGGGUUAAGUCCCGCAACGAGCGCAACCCUUAUUACUAGUUGCCAGCAUUCAGUUGGGCACUCUAGUGAGACUGCCGGUGACAAACCGGAGGAAGGUGGGGACGACGUCAAAUCAUCAUGCCCCUUAUGACCUGGGCUACACACGUGCUACAAUGGUCGGUACAACGUGCUGCGAACUCGCGAGGGUAAGCAAAUCACUUAAAACCGAUCUCAGUUCGGAUUGUAGGCUGCAACUCGCCUACAUGAAGCUGGAAUCGCUAGUAAUCGCGGAUCAGCAUGCCGCGGUGAAUACGUUCCCGGGCCUUGUACACACCGCCCGUCACACCAUGAGAGUUUGUAACACCCAAAGCCGGUGGGGUAACC